rnacentral:rRNA from 1 species
GACGAACCGUGCGAACGUUGUUCGGAAUCACUGGGCUUAAAGGGCGCGUAGGCGGGUGUCCAAGUCAGGGGUGAAAUCCUCCAGCUUAACUGGAGAACUGCCUGUGAUACUGGACGUCUGGAGUGAGGUAGGGGCAUGUGGAACUUCCGGUGGAGCGGUGAAAUGCGUUGAUAUCGGAAGGAACGCCGGUGGCGAAAGCGCACUACUGGACCUCUUCUGACGCUGAGGCGCGAAAGCCAGGGGAGCAAACGGG